CCUACGGGGCGCAGCAGUGAGGAAUAUUGGACAAUGGCCGCAGGGCUGAACCAGCCAAGUCGCGUGAGGGAUGACGGUCCUACGGAUUGUAAACCUCUUUUGUCAGGGAGCAAAGGGCGCCACGUGUGGCGCUUUGCGAGUACCUGAAGAAAAAGCAUCGGCUAACUCCGUGCCAGCAGCCGCGGUAAUACGGAGGAUGCGAGCGUUAUCCGGAUUUAUUGGGUUUAAAGGGUGCGCAGGCGGUGGUGCAGGUCAGCGGUCAAAUU
rnacentral:rRNA from 1 species